rnacentral:rRNA from 1 species
AUUACUCCUACGGGAGGCAGCAGUGGGGAAUAUUGCACAAUGGGCGCAAGCCUGAUGCAGCCAUGCCGCGUGUAUGAAGAAGGCCUUCGGGUUGUAAAGUACUUUCAGCGAGGAGGAAGGCGUUGUGGUUAAUAACCGCAACGAUUGACGUUACUCGCAGAAGAAGCACCGGCUAACUCCGUGCCAGCAGCCGCGGUAAUAAU